rnacentral:rRNA from 1 species
UACGAAGGGGGGCUAGCGUUGCUCGGAAUCACUGGGCGUAAAGCGCACGUAGGCGGCUUUCUAAGUCAGGGGUGAAAUCCUGGAGCUCAACUCCAGAACUGCCUUUGAUACUGGAAAGCUUGAGUUCGGGAGAGGUGAGUGGAACUGCGAGUGUAGAGGUGAAAUUCGUAGAUAUUCGCAAGAACACCAGUGGCGAAGGCGGCUCACUGGCCCGAUACUGACGCUGAGGUGCGAAAGCGUGGGGAGCAAACAGG